UGAGGAAUAUUGGUCAAUGGGCGGAAGCCUGAACCAGCCAAGUCGCGUGAGGGAAGACGGCCCUACGGGUUGUAAACCUCUUUUNCCGGGGAGCAAUGCCCAGCUCGCGAGCUGGGAAGGAGAGUACCCGGAGAAAAAGCAUCGGCUAACUCCGUGCC
rnacentral:rRNA from 1 species